rnacentral:rRNA from 1 species
AUUGAACGCUGGCGGCAUGCUUUACACAUGCAAGUCGAACGGUAACAGGCCGCAAGGUGCUGACGAGUGGCGAACGGGUGAGUAAUGCAUCGGAACGUGCCCAGUCGUGGGGGAUAACGCAGCGAAAGCUGUGCUAAUACCGCAUACGAUCUGUGGAUGAAAGCGGGGGACCGAAAGGCCUCGCGCGAUUGGAGCGGCCGAUGUCAGAUUAGGUAGUUGGUGGGGUAAGGGCUCACCAAGCCAACGAUCUGUAGCUGGUCUGAGAGGACGACCAGCCACACUGGGACUGGGACACGGCCCAGACUCCUACGGGAGGCAGCAGUGGGGAAUUUUGGACAAUGGGCGCAAGCCUGAUUCAGCAAUGCCGCGUGCAGGAAGAAGGCCUUCGGGUUGUAAACUGCUUUUGUCAGGGAAGAAAUCUUCUGGGUUAAUACCUCGGGAGGAUGACGGUACCUGAAGAAUAAGCACCGGCUAACUACGUGCCAGCAGCCGCUGUAAUAC